AGGGAAGAAAGACACAGACAAUGAAGAGGAGGAGGCAGUGUGACUACAGAGUUUCGAGGGAUGUAGCCAGGAAAGUGAAGGAGUUCCUGGAGCCACCGGGAGCUGGAAGAGGAAAGAAAAGGGAUGCUUCUAAAAAUAAUACAAGGAGAGGAACUAGAAACUAAGGCUAUUCUGGGAAAAUGGAGACAUAUAGUCAUGAUGCCACGUAUCAGCUGUUUUGCCAGAAUGGUUUUGCAUGAUGCAUGAUGUUUCAUCCUGGAACGAUUUCUUUUUAUGAAAGAAGAAUGAAGAAUGAAGAUGACGGUAACUGAGGGCUUAAAGCAGGCAAGGGCCAACAAAACAAACAAACCAAAAAAACUGUGAGUCAAAUGUGUACCCUUCAGUUUUAAGUUGUUGAUUGUAUUACAGUGUACCCUGAAUUCUGU